rnacentral:rRNA from 1 species
AACAGGAUUAGAUACCCUGGUAGUCCACGCCCUAAACGAUGUCUACUAGUUGUCGGGUCUUAAUUGACUUGGUAACGCAGCUAACGCGUGAAGUAGACCGCCUGGGGAGUACGGUCGCAAGAUUAAAACUCAAAGGAAUUGACGGGUACCCGCACAAGCGGUGGAUGAUGUGGAUUAAUUCGAUGCAACGCGAAAAACCUUACCUACCCUUGACAUGGAAGGAAUCCUUGAGAGAUUGAGGAGUGCCCGAAAGGGAACCUUUACACAGGUGCUGCAUGGCUGUCGUCAGCUCGUGUCGUGAGAUGUUGGGUUAAGUCCCGCAACGAGCGCAACCCUUGUCAUUAGUUGCUACGAAAGGGCACUCUAAUGAGACUGCCGGUGACAAACCGGAGGAAGGUGGGGAUGACGUCAAGUCCUCAUGGCCCUUAUGGGUAGGGCUUCACACGUCAUACAAUGGUACAUACAGAGGGCCGCCAACCCGCGAGGGGGAGCUAAUCCCAGAAAGUGUAUCGUAGUCCGGAUUGUAGUCUGCAACUCGACUGCAUGAAGUUGGAAUCGCUAGUAAUCGCGGAUCAGCAUGUCGCGGUGAAUACGUUCCCGGGUCUUGUACACACCGCCCGUCACACCAUGGGAGCGGGUUUUACCAGAAGUAGGUAGCUUAACCGCAAGGAGGGCGCUUACCACGGUAGGAUUCGUGACUGGGGUGAAGUCGUAACAAGGUAACC